rnacentral:rRNA from 1 species
AGAGUUUGAUCAUGGCUCAGGACGAACGCUGGCGGCGUGCCUAAUACAUGCAAGUCGAGCGAGCUUGCCUAGAUGAUUUUAGUGCUUGCACUAAAUGAAACUAGAUACAAGCGAGCGGCGGACGGGUGAGUAACACGUGGGUAACCUGCCCAAGAGACUGGGAUAACACCUGGAAACAGAUGCUAAUACCGGAUAACAACACUAGACGCAUGUCUAGAGUUUGAAAGAUGGUUCUGCUAUCACUCUUGGAUGGACCUGCGGUGCAUUAGCUAGUUGGUAAGGUAACGGCUUACCAAGGCAAUGAUGCAUAGCCGAGUUGAGAGACUGAUCGGCCACAUUGGGACUGAGACACGGCCCAAACUCCUACGGGAGGCAGCAGUAGGGAAUYUUCCACAAUGGACGAAAGUCUGAUGGAGCAACGCCGCGUGAGUGAAGAAGGGUUUCGGCUCGUAAAGCUCUGUUGGUAGUGAAGAAAGAUAGAGGUAGUAACUGGCCUUUAUUUGACGGUAAUUACUUAGAAAGUCACGGCUAACUACGUGCCAGCAGCCGCGGUAAUACGUAGGUGGCAAGCGUUGUCCGGAUUUAUUGGGCGUAAAGCGAGUGCAGGCGGUUCAAUAAGUCUGAUGUGAAAGCCUUCGGCUCAACCGGAGAAUUGCAUCAGAAACUGUUGAACUUGAGUGCAGAAGAGGAGAGUGGAACUCCAUGUGUAGCGGUGGAAUGCGUAGAUAUAUGGAAGAACACCAGUGGCGAAGGCGGCUCUCUGGUCUGCAACUGACGCUGAGGCUCGAAAGCAUGGGUAGCGAACAGGAUUAGAUACCCUGGUAGUCCAUGCCGUAAACGAUGAGUGCUCAAGUGUUGGGAGGUUUCCGCCUCUCAGUGAUGCAGCUAACGCAUUAAGCACUCCGCCUGGGGAGUACGAC